GGUCUUUAGCUCAGUUGGGAGAGCGCCUGCAUGGCAUGCAGGAGGUCGACGGUUCAAGUCC
rnacentral:tRNA from 1 species